GAUCUCUUCCUCUGGUACAUGUAGAAGGCACAGGUGGUCUUCCUUAUUGCCUAGCUCAAUAACUUUGAGUUCUAACCCCAGCUGCAAGCAGUUUUGCAUAUCUUUUGGAGUUGUGUUAUUGUUAAAGUUUUGGAAAGGAAUCUUUGUUGAUGUCCGGGCUUGGUGCUGGAGCCAUUAAGAUGUGAGGAGGAAAGAGCCACCUGUGAAUUGCUGUUACUGGGACAGUGGGCUGAAAGCUGGAGCUGUCCUGGGAAAACCAUGAUGUACAGUCAGCCUCAUUCAGAGUGACCGGUGCCUUUUUACCUCCAACGUGCUUGGACGAAUGCAACUCCAGAGCAUCUGCUGGUGAUCAUUAGGGGAGAUGUUACCCUUGUGAAUGAUAAAGCUUGAUAUCAAAAACCACACAGUAGGACUUCAAGACCCCAGAGAAAGGCUUUAAUGCCUUGUGCUGAGACCGUAAUUUAAAAGACGUCCGGAGACUUUGCUACCCACAGACAGAAAUUGUAUAUUGUAUUCUCUCCCUCAUAAAACAUAUACUACAAUAGGA